rnacentral:tRNA from 1 species
UGCCGGGUCGUCUAAUGGUAGGACGCGUGGUUCUGGCCCACGUAAUCUAGGUUCGAAUCCUAGCCCGGCAG